GAAAUGGAUUUAAAUUUUGGAAAGGAAGAAACCUAGCUAGCCCUCUUACUGUUACAUUAUGAACAGGCAAGUCAAUCAAAAGUUUAUUUGCAGAAGUUAACCAUGCUGUUUGCCAACUCUUAUCAGACCAAUCUGAUACUGCGUACACAAGACUAUGUGGAUGUGGAGUUUAUAAGUCUCUGGAACAGUUAUAGUGGUAGCCAAGCUAAAUGACGUAGACAUAUAUGCACAUUCAACGCAGACAUGAUUCACAUCAUAAGGGUUGACAAAGUUCAUGUAACUGACUGAAUUUGAGCAAUAUGGAGUCAAAGAAGUGGUCAUAUCCUUGAUGGUUUGACGUCGCCUCCAGUUCAUUUCCUCAUCUUCCACCUCUACUGCACUGUCCACAAG
rnacentral:lncRNA from 1 species